GACGAACGCUGGCGGCGUGCCUAAUACAUGCAAGUAGGACGCAGUUGCGAACGGGUGAGUAACGCGUAGGUAACUACCUAUUAGAGGGGGAUAACUAUUGGAAACGAUAGCUAAUACCGCCUACUAGUAGAUGGACCUGCGUUGUAUUAGCUAGUAGGUAGGGUAAUGGCCUACCUCGGCAAAGAUACAUAGCCGACCUGAGAGGGUGAUGGGCCAAACUGGGACUGAGCCCAGGCCCAGACUCCUACGGUGGGCAGCAGUAGGGAAUCUUCGGCAAUGGGGGGAACCCUGACCGAGCAACGCCGCGGGAGUGAAGAAGGUUUUCGGAUCGUAAAGCGCUGUUGUUAAGGAAGCGGUACCGGAAUAGAAAGCCACGGCUAACUACGUGCCAGCAGCCGCGGUAAUAC
rnacentral:rRNA from 1 species